rnacentral:rRNA from 1 species
UGCGUAGGUGGUUUGAUAAGUCAGAGGUGAAAGCCCACCGCUUAACGGUGGAAUUGCCUUUGAUACUGUCAGACUUGAAUAAGGUUGAGGUCGGCGGAAUGUGUCAUGUAGCGGUGAAAUGCAUAGAUAUGACAUAGAACACCAAUUGCGAAGGCAGCUGGCUAGACCUUUAUUGACACUGAGGCACGAAAGCGUGGGGAGCGAACAGGAUUAGAUACCCCUGGUAGUCC